GGCACGGGAGGUGGCGUGGGACCGAGGGUGUGUGCAGCGGACUCGGCGGCCCUGUGAGGCGCUCGGCCCGCCGGACCCCGCGUGAAGCGGGUCGGUGUGGAAGCCGAGCACCGUUUGGGAUGUAGAUCUUCGCCGUGUGCCCAGGCACAGGACUGGGCGGAUAUAAAGCGAAGACCCAGGUCACACGGAUGUCCUUGAUUUGGAAACUUGAUCUACAGAAGCAUAAGUGAUUUAAAUUUCCUAGGAGUCGCAUCAAAACUCUACAUAGAUGAAUGCUCAUUUGUAACAAGGCUAUGAAUAAAU
rnacentral:lncRNA from 1 species